CAUAUACUUUGGUUAUUUUUCUUGUGACAAAUUAUUUCCAGAAUUGCUUUUAGGCUCCAGUCUUGAGACCUUCAAAUUUUCUGCUGAACCCUGAAGUGAUUUUGCCUAUUUCCCAGAUACAUGAUUGCCCAGUACUUUUAAAGAUACAAACAGAUGUUGCCCAGUCACUGGGUGUCUGGUAUCUGUGAGGACUCAGAGGAACUUUCCACACUGGCUUCCUGCAGCACCAUGAAGGAGACAUAGCACCUGCUGGAACCUGCUUUCAUACUCUUAUUUGGAACGCUGUGGAACCUGGAGAAUGUUCUGAU